rnacentral:rRNA from 1 species
UCCUUAGAUGCUCUGGGCCGCACGCGCGCUACACUGGUCGAUGCAACGAGUUUCUUUCCUUGGCCGACAGGCCUGGGCAAUCUUUGAACAUCGAUCGUGAUCGGGAUAGAUUCUUGUAAUUUUUGAUCUUAAACGAGGAAUUCCUAGUAAACGCAAGUCAUCAGCUUGCAUUGAUUACGUCCCUGCCCUUUGUACACACCGCCCGUCGCACCUACCGAUUGAAUGGUCCGGUGAAAUCUCCGGACUGGCGUGAGUCGGAGCAAUCUGACAAACACCGGAAAGUUGAUUAAACCUUACCAUUUAGAGGAAGGUGAAGUCGUAACA